ACACGACUGAAGCAACUUAGCAGCAGCAGCACCAAUGGAAAAGAAGGGACUCUUGUGGGCUCAACAUAUGACCUGGGGCUGGAAUGCUUCCAUGAAACCUGAGAGCCUUGAUCACUCAUUGGACGGCAGUCAUGCCAAUCCAUGCCUCCUGGCAAAUGAGCUUAGAGCUGGGACUGGAGGAAGUGGUCCUGGUUGACCCAGCUCCACCUACCGUCGCCAGCCCAUCAGGGCCUUUCCCGCCUCCAGCUCAGCUUCGGCCUUGGUGGGCGGGUGUGCGGGCUACCCCCUCACCAUUCCUGUUGUGGGGCCCACACCAGCAGCUCGCAGACUCCUGUUCCCUGUGCAGCCGACGUCUCCGCUGUCCCCACCCCCACCCUGCAGUCCCGCGGCCAACAGCGUCUCGUCAGCGUGACACUCAGCGGCCGCCAUCUUCCCCGCAGGCGUCACUGCAGGACGAUCCCUGUCUGGCACGUCUCUCCUGCCAUGUCUGCCACAGAGGAGCACGACUGGAUGCCGGGUGGCCCGGAUAGAGCUGGUGGCGGGGCGGGCCGCGACCCCAGUCUCCUUGGGGUCCAAGCAUCUGCUUCGGAGGGGAUGGAAGGAGUCGAGGAGGCCACGGCUCUUCUGGCCUCCUUGGAGGUCUCCAGUGCCCGUCCUGGGGAGCAGGGUUUGCCUCAGGCCGCAGUGGAAGAGGAGUGUGGUAGAGAGCCGUUAGAGGAGGAGGAGAUGGAGGAAGAUGUAGAGGAGAUGGAGGAGGACGAGGAAGAGGGGGAGAUUGAUUUCGAGGUGGAAGUCGUGGAGGAGGAGGCGCCUCUGUCUGGAGAGGGCGAGGAAGAGGAGGAUGAGAAUGAGCAGGAGGGUGCGGCAGCGGUUACAGGCCUUGGGUUCUCUAUGGAGACAUUUGGGCCCCUGUUCUGGAGUCAGGUUGACUCCAUUCUACGCAAUUUCCAUACCAACACACAUGUCCUGUUCCCGCCUCCCACUGACGGCCUGAUGGCCGGGGGCUGCUCCCCGCCACCCUCGGACCCUGGAGAAGGUCCGGUGCCUCCUCAGGAGCGGGAAGACCUGGGAGAGGGAGACAGAGGCUUGCAGGGCCUAGACUCUGCUGCUGAUUUUAAGUUGGGAUAUUUUUCCUGCCAACUUUUGACCCCAAUGUCUGCAUCAUUCUGCCCUAAUGAUGAGGGUGAGGAUCAGUAUGAAAAGGCUGAUGAAGAGGAAGAGGAUGAAAAUGAAAAACCUGAAGAACUCUAAAUGGAUGUGGUCUCAGCAAAGAGCAGCUCUGGAUAAUACAGUGGGAAAGCAUAGAAAGAAGCAGACAGCAAAGAAAAGAUGCAUUUGUUCUUCAUGGAUAUUCUUGUUUUCAUUAGCCUGAAAUACUAAUUUUGUUUCAAAGUUUCAACCCCUCAAAAUGAUACUAACUACUGACAUCUGACUUUACUCUUACCUUUUAACAGAUAAUUUGAUAGUAUUGUUCACAUUGGAAAUAAAAGCUUGUUUGAAAAUAA
ensembl:lncRNA